CCUACGGUGGACUGCAGUGGGGAAUAUUGCACAAUGGGGGAAACCCUGAUGCCGCGACGCCGCGUGAGUGCAGAAGUACCUCGGUACGUAAAGCUCUUUCAGCAGGGAAGAAAAUGACGGUCCUUUACUAAUAAGCCCCUGCUAACUACGUGCCCGCAGCCGCGGUACUACGUAGGGGGCAAGCCUUAUCCGGAUUUACUGGGUGGAAAGGGAGCGUAGACGGCAGCACAAGUCUGGAGUGAAAUCCCGGGGGUUAACCCCGAGACUGCUUUGGAAACUGGUCGGCUGGAGUGUAGGAGGGGUAAGCGGAAUUACUGGUGUAGCGGUGAAAUGCGUAGAUAUUAGGAGGAACACCGGUGGCGAAGGCGGCUUACUGGACUAUAACUGACGUUGAGGCUCGAAAGCGUGGGGAGCAAACAGGAUUAGAUACCCGAGUAGUC
rnacentral:rRNA from 1 species